CCUACGGGGUGCAGCAGUGAGGAAUAUUGGUCAAUGGACGAGAGUCUGAACCAGCCAAGUAGCGUGAAGGAUGACUGCCCUAUGGGUUGUAAACUUCUUUUAUAUGGGAAUAAAAUGUUCCACGUGUGGGAUUUUGUAUGUACCAUAUGAAUAAGGAUCGGCUAACUCAGUGCCAGCAGCCGCGGUAAUACGGAGGAUCCGAGCGUUAUCCGGAUUUAUUGGGUUUAAAGGGAGCGUAGGUGGAUUGUUAAGUCAGUUGUGAAAGUUUGCGGCUCAACCGUAAAAUUGCAGUUGAAACUGGCAGUCUUGAGUACAGUAGAGGUGGGCGGAAUUCGUGGUGUAGCGGUGAAAUGCUUAGAUAUCACGAAGAACUCCGAUUGCGAAGGCAGUUCACUGGACUGCAACUGACACUGAGGCUCGAAAGUGUGGGUAUCAAACAGGAUUAGAUACCCUUGUAGUC
rnacentral:rRNA from 1 species